UAGGGAAUCUUCGGCAAUGGACGAAAGUCUGACCGAGCAACGCCGCGUGAGUGAAGAAGGUUUUCGGAUCGUAAAACUCUGUUGUUAGAGAAGAACAAGGACGUUAGUAACUGAACGUCCCCUGACGGUAUCUAACCAGAAAGCCACGGCUAACUACGUGCCAGCAGCCGCGGUAAUACGUAGGUGGCAAGCGUUGUCCGGAUUUAUUGGGCGUAAAGCGAGCGCAGGCGGUUUCUUAAGUCUGAUGUGAAAGCCCCCGGCUCAACCGGGGAGGGUCAUUGGAAACUGUGAGACUUGAGUGCAGAAGAGGGGAGUGGAAUUCUAUGUGUAGCGGUGAAAUGCGUAGAUAUAUGGAGGAACACCAGUGGCGAAGGCGGCUCUCUGGUCUGUAACGGACGCUGAGGCUCGAAAGCGUGGGGAGCAAACAGG
rnacentral:rRNA from 1 species